GCACUCGAUUAGAAUGAGGGAGGAGGAUGGAAAUGCAGGUUAGAAAUCCUCAAACGGUGUUGUAAUUGCGAGCGGAUGCUAGAAGCAAGGGAGUCAAGCAAGCUAUUUGAUGUGAUGUUCCGUCGCUUGUGAGAAUUUAGAUGUUAGGAUUCGGUGGUUGGCCAGUCCAUUUCUGAAUUCACGCGCGCCUAACGCUAGACGCACCCGAGGGUUCUGCUCUGCAUUGAAAGGGGGAAAUGAAUUAUGGUUCUAUUGUGCAAGUCUCUCAAUACGUUCUCUACCUUUCGCAUAUGAAAUUGAUUUACAUCCGAGUAUGUGAGCCUUUCUUUGCUCAAUGUAUCAAGGAGGUUGCUUGUUUCAUAAUAAUUGUUUAGGCG
rnacentral:sRNA from 2 species